UUAUGUACUUCCCACCUCCUCAAAGAGCAAUCCCUGCCCAGUCCUCCCAGUGCCUUCUGUGGAAAACCUGGCACAGGAAGGGCUGGGGAGCUCCUGUUCCUGUGCUGCUCCCUAAAGCGCUGGCUUCCCAGUGAGACGGGGACUGGAAGGUAGCUUUGAAGUCCUCUACAUACAACCCUCCUCUGCUGUUCCUUACAGUGUCUCCUGCUGGAGCUAAGGCAUGAGUUUCCAGACUCCCAAUAAUACCAAAUGAUUUAUUUCCUCAGUUAGUAGAGACUGAAAUUGCACCAGUUCUGUUUUCCUCACAUCCAUGGCUCUAUUGUGAAAUUUAACAAUAUUAUCCACUGGGGAAAAAAACACCUGAAGGAUUUGCAGCACCUAAGGGUUAUCCAAAGACUAUUUUUUAUCCCUCACUGUGACUUCUGAUGAGACCUGGUAUGAACAGGAAACCAAGAGAGGACCUUUACAACAACUCUUGCAUUAUCUCCCUUCCAGCCACAUCAGCCACCCUCCUCAGGAAAUGCUGGUGGCAGUUCCAAACACACACGAAGCCGAUCACCAGCAAGGAGUACGUGUUUCCCUUGAUGUCUGGAGAUUAAUGGUAUAGCUCCUAUUAAGCAUAGCGAGGGGGGACUUGAAAACAAACAAUUCAUGCCGCACAUUAAAGAGUCAACUCAAUCAGUGCUGAAGAUCAACCACCACACUUUCUUCUCCCCAAAUGUAAAGCACCUCCUGCCUUCUCACCUAAAGACAACUCAGUACCGCAUUGACAUAAUCUUACAGAGAGCCCAGAAAACAAAACAUUUGUGCUGGAAAUAAUGGGUGUCUUUGGAAACAAACUGGUAGCAGUUGAACCCCUCUUCCCAUGCCCCCUUGAUCCUCUCAGACCCCUUCCUAUCUAUUUCAGGACUUUUCAGAUUCAGUGCAAAUUCCCCCUUGGAACAGUG